GAGGAGGGAGGAUUGCUUGAGCCUGGGAAGUUGAGGCUGCAGUGAGCUGAGAUCACACCACUGCACUCCAGCCUGGGUGACAGAGCAAGACCCUGUCUCA
rnacentral:miRNA from 1 species